AGCCAGGUGGUGUAGUGGUUUGAGUGUUGGACUAUAACUCUGGAGACCAAAGUUCAAAUCCUGUCUUGGCCA
rnacentral:tRNA from 1 species